GGAGACUCUAGAAGACCAACUUUUCUACGCCCUGGACUACGCCAUCAAACACGAUAGGGUGGAAUACGAUGACACCUACGUGUCACUUCAGAGACACAGUCAAUUUAGCUCUUUCUGUGACACUAUUGUCAUCGACAAAGUCACUUUGGGAAAGAAGAGAAUAGAAUGUCCGGAAACUUACGAUGACACUAAGGAUUACGGAUAUUAAAGUUUGGCAACGAAAGUAAAUUUUAAAAUGGUA